rnacentral:rRNA from 1 species
GACGAACCGAGCGAACGUUAUUCGGAAUCACUGGGCUUAAAGGGUGCGUAGGCGGGCACGCGAGUCAGGGGUGAAAUCCCACGGCCCAACCGUGGAAGUGCCUCUGAUACCGCGAGCCUCGAGGGGGAUAGGGGCGUGCGGAACUUCCGGUGGAGCGGUGAAAUGCGUAGAUAUCGGAAGGAACACCGGUGGCGAAAGCGGCGCGCUGGAUCGCUACUGACGCUGAGGCACGAAAGCCAGGGGAGCAAACGGG